rnacentral:rRNA from 1 species
UUUAUGGAGAGUUUGAUCCUGGCUCAGGAUGAACGCUGGCGGCGUGCCUAAUACAUGCAAGUCGAGCGAACGGACGAGAAGCUUGCUUCUCUGAUGUUAGCGGCGGACGGGUGAGUAACACGUGGAUAACCUACCUAUAAGACUGGGAUAACUUCGGGAAACCGGAGCUAAUACCGGAUGAUAUUUUGAACCGCAUGGUUCAAAAGUGAAAGACGGUCUUGCUGUCACUUAUAGAUGGAUCCGCGCUGCAUUAGCUAGUUGGUAAGGUAACGGCUUACCAAGGCAACGAUGCAUAGCCGACCUGAGAGGGUGAUCGGCCACACUGGAACUGAGACACGGUCCAGACUCCUACGGGAGGCAGCAGUAGGGAAUCUUCCGCAAUGGGCGAAAGCCUGACGGAGCAACGCCGCGUGAGUGAUGAAGGUCUUCGGAUCGUAAAACUCUGUUAUUAGGGAAGAACAUAUGUGUAAGUAACUGUGCACAUCUUGACGGUACCUAAUCAGAAAGCCACGGCUAACUACGUGCCAGCAGCCGCGGUAAUACGUAGGUGGCAAGCGUUAUCCGGAAUUAUUGGGCGUAAAGCGCGCGUAGGCGGUUUUUUAAGUCUGAUGUGAAAGCCCACGGCUCAACCGUGGAGGGUCAUUGGAAACUGGAAAACUUGAGUGCAGAAGAGGAAAGUGGAAUUCCAUGUGUAGCGGUGAAAUGCGCAGAGAUAUGGAGGAACACCAGUGGCGAAGGCGACUUUCUGGUCUGUAACUGACGCUGAUGUGCGAAAGCGUGGGGAUCAAACAGGAUUAGAUACCCUGGUAGUCCACGCCGUAAACGAUGAGUGCUAAGUGUUAGGGGGUUUCCGCCCCUUAGUGCUGCAGCUAACGCAUUAAGCACUCCGCCUGGGGAGUACGACCGCAAGGUUGAAACUCAAAGGAAUUGACGGGGACCCGCACAAGCGGUGGAGCAUGUGGUUUAAUUCGAAGCAACGCGAAGAACCUUACCAAAUCUUGACAUCCUUUGACAACUCUAGAGAUAGAGCCUUCUUCGGGGACAAAGUGACAGGUGGUGCAUGGUUGUCGUCAGCUCGUGUCGUGAGAUGUUGGGUUAAGUCCCGCAACGAGCGCAACCCUUAAGCUUAGUUGCCAUCAUUAAGUUGGGCACUCUAAGUUGACUGCCGGUGACAAACCGGAGGAAGGUGGGGAUGACGUCAAAUCAUCAUGCCCCUUAUGAUUUGGGCUACACACGUGCUACAAUGGACAAUACAAAGGGCAGCGAAACCGCGAGGUCAAGCAAAUCCCAUAAAGUUGUUCUCAGUUCGGAUUGUAGUCUGCAACUCGACUACAUGAAGCUGGAAUCGCUAGUAAUCGUAGAUCAGCAUGCUACGGUGAAUACGUUCCCGGGUCUUGUACACACCGCCCGUCACACCACGAGAGUUUGUAACACCCGAAGCCGGUGGAGUAACCUUUUAGGAGCUAGCCGUCGAAGGUGGGACAAAUGAUUGGGGUGAAGUCGUAACAAGGUAGCCGUAUCGGAAGGUGCGGCUGGAUCACCUCCUUUCU